GUAAGGAAUAUUGGUCAAUGGACGAAAGUCUGAACCAGCCAUGCCGCGUGAAGGAUGAAGGCCCUCUGGGUUGUAAACUUCUUUUAUCUGGGACGAAAAAAGGGUAUUCUUACUCACUUGACGGUACCAGAGGAAUAAGCACCGGCUAACUCCGUGCCAGCAGCCGCGGUAAUACGGAGGGUGCAAGCGUUAUCCGGAUUCACUGGGUUUAAAGGGUGCGUAGGUGGGUAUUUAAGUCAGUGGUGAAAUCUCCGAGCUUAACUCGGAAACUGCCAUUGAUACUAUUUACCUUGAAUGCCCUGGAGGUAAGCGGAAUAUGUCAUGUAGCGGUGAAAUGCUUAGAUAUGACAUAGAACACCAAUUGCGAAGGCAGCUUACUACGGGGUGAUUGACACUGAGGCACGAAAGCGUGGGGAGCAAACAGGAUUAGAUACCCCAGUAGUCC
rnacentral:rRNA from 1 species